rnacentral:pre_miRNA from 1 species
CAACUACUCCCUCUGUCCCAAAUUUCUUGUCUUAGAUUUGUAUAGAUAUGGAUGUAUCUAAUACUAAAAUGUGACUUGAUACAUCCGUAUCUAGACAAAUCUAAGACAAGAAUUUUGGGACGGAGGGAGUACUUU